AUUGAACGCUGGCGGCAUGCCUUACACAUGCAAGUCGAACGGCAGCGGACCUUCGGGUGCCGGCGAGUGGCGAACGGGUGAGUAAUAUAUCGGAACGUACCUUUCAGUGGGGGAUAGCGUAGCGAAAGUUACGCUAAUACCGCAUAUUCUGUGAGCAGGAAAGCAGGGGAUCGCAAGACUUUGCGCUGAUUGAGCGGCCGAUAUCAGAUUAGCUAGUUGGUGAGGUAAAGGCUCACCAAGGCGACGAUCUGUAGCGGGUCUGAGAGGAUGAUCCGCCACACUGGAACUGAGACACGGUCCAGACUCCUACGGGAGGCAGCAGUGGGGAAUUUUGGACAAUGGGCGCAAGCCUGAUCCAGCCAUGCCGCGUGCGGGACGAAGGCCU
rnacentral:rRNA from 1 species